AAAUAGAUCCGUAACUGCGGGAAAAGGAUUGGCUCUGAGGGUUGGGUAUAGGGGUCCGUAUCUUGACGCCCGAUGCUGUCGACGGUCUGCCAGAGCUUCCCAGCUUAGGCGGACUGUCGCGUGCUGAAAAGUAGAAGGGUACGGAGUGCUUCGGCUUUCCCUAUACGAUGAACAACCAACUCAGAACUGGUACGGACAAGGGG
rnacentral:rRNA from 1 species